GACAGAGGUGCCGAGCGUUAGGCGGAAUCACUGGGCUUAAAGCGUGUGUAGGCGGAUCGUUAAGUACCUUGUGAAAUCCCACGGCUCAACCGUGGAACUGCUUGGUAUACUGGCGGUCUUGAGCCAGCUAGGGGCGACCGGAACAAAUGGUGGAGCGGUGAAAUGCGUAGAUAUCAUUUGGAACGCCAAUGGUGAAAACAGGUCGCUGGGGCUGUGCUGACGCUGAGACACGAAAGCCAGGGGAGCGAACGGG
rnacentral:rRNA from 1 species